CUAUGGCUAAAGCCAUGGCAGAAGGAG
rnacentral:ncRNA from 1 species